CUGGUCUACAGAGCGAGUGCCAGGAUAGGCUCCAAAGUUACAGAGGAACUUUACCUCAGAAAAAAAAAAAGAGUUCCAAGAGUCUGGAACUCAGGACUCGGAGGAUGUGUUGGACUGACUGAUGCUACAGAGCGUUGGGAAAACUGCAAAGUGGCUUCAGCUGCUGCCAACGAAGGCACUGCAAAUGCCAGGUCGAAGAAGUGUUGCUAGGGCGACGCUACAGGAACAGGAAGCCACUAGGAAUCAGCAAGUCCCCUCUUCCUGCGGCUGCUUUCCCAUCGUCUGCCCUGUACUCUUCCGGGCAGCACACAUCAGGAAGCGGCUGUGGUCUUCCGAGCCAGCUCCGGCGUCACACACACGGCAUGGAAGGCGGAUGUGGCAUUAAGAGGCAAUAGCUUCGCUAACAGAAAGACAGACUAACACAAGUGAAGGAAUGCUCAAACUUCCAGAGCUAAAGGAUACAGUUGAAAGGGCCAGAGAAGUGAGCCUGCUGGAAGAAAGGCCCCGCUUAAAACCACAGGGCCCCUUGGGGGCUGCAGAGAUGGUUCAGCAGUGAAGAACACCGGACUGCACUUCCAGAGGACCACGGUUCAAUUCCCAACACCAACAGCCUGUGACUCCAGCUCUGUCUGGGCCCAUCGGAAUGACUCCACUUCAUCUUGACUUAAGGUCAGAGAGUUCAAGCCCACAAUUGCUCUCUCAAGGUUAAACAACAGAAUGUUUGGCCUGAGGUGCUGUCAGAAAGGACAAGCAGAUCUGUGUCCACUUGGAACAGACGUUGGUGAGCACGCGUGAUCUUACCUCUGCUAUGAUGCAUCAAGGUGCCUUCUUUUGUAAAAUGGUUAAGACUGCUUUGAGACUCACAUCCAAUGAUGCACCAAGUGUAAGAAUGCCUUCUUGUUUUUCCAUCAAGUCCACAAAAUGCAUAGUAUAUUUCAGACCCUAGUAAAAAGGCCCACAUCUAUCAGUAUAUAUACACUGAACAACAAAGC
rnacentral:lncRNA from 1 species